CAAAAUUCUCCUUUCCCUCUUGUAAGUUCCACUCUCGGCUCUCUCUCCCUCUCAGCUCUGAACCCUCACUAGACGUAACCCCUUCCUUUCACUCUUCAUCCUCUCUCCCUCUCCACCGUAAUCGCAGCCGCAGUCUAUGAUCUGUCACUCUCUCAACCCCCACUCUCCCAAACCCUCACUCAUCUGUGCCUCUCACUCUCUCAACCUCUCACUCUGUCAACCCCUCACUGUCGCAUCCCUCACCUCUAUUGCGUUCAGAUACCUACAAAAAAAGGAGCCCUCAAUGCUGAACCCAGUUACUCAUUCCAAAUUUCCGGUUUCCUUUAAAGAUUAUGGCUGCUGCUGUAACUGCGAGAACUGUUCGUGUUGUCAUUGUUGUUUUUGAUGGACCCAGUAGCUUUAUUGCUUAACUAGGAUAACAUUUUCAAGUGGCAUCCACGUCGCUUGUUCCCUCUUUACCCAUCAGGCCCCAGCUUUGGAUCUUUAUAUAGCUUUCCCCUAUCAUCCACAAUUCCUGAAGCUCAUACCCUCCCCUGUCGAGUUGCGCAGCUGCCUUCACGACCAGUCCCCUGGCACUGUUUAUUGAUGGUCCACGGAGGGCUCAAGUGCUCUUGGUGCUAUGGAGAAAAAGGGAGGACUUGUCAUUAAAGAAAAUUUUGAAAAAAGGAAAAUAGUUCUACACUUUGUAAUAAGGGUGGAGAUGAAUUUCAAGUGGAGAAUAGAAAGGUGAAGACCAAGUUGACAGCAAGCGUUAAAUUUUUAGCUGCACUGAUAAUGGAGCUUGAUGGUCAAAAUCCUCUCUUAAAAAGGAUAAGCAGAUCCGACAAAUGCAACAACAACAUACUGAAGUGGUUUCAACUAUGGAGAAAAAUCAAACUAACUUAACUUCCAAGUUGGAUGGUUUAACAAACUUGAUUAAAACGUUGUUGCAACAAGUCAAUCCUGGUAUGAGUGCAGAACAAGUGCAAGUAAUGAUAGAAGCCGCCCAACAAUCUCCACCUGAUGCGAGUAGUGCACCAAAUGAUGCGCGGCGAAGCAUUCCUCCUUCACUUGGAUCGAACCAUGUAUCAAAGGAUUUCGAAGUAAGUGCUGUUCAAAAUAAGUAGUUAAAUUAAUAGUAUGGUUUUGGUACUUACUGUGCUGAUUGGCUAAACCAUUAUAUUUUUGGUUCUAAACUUUAGUUGUUUUACUUUUUAUAUC